rnacentral:tRNA from 1 species
GGAGAGGUCGCAUAAUCCGGUAUUGCACCGGUCUCGAAAACCGGCGGGGCGCAAGCCCCUUGAGAGUUCAAAUCUCUCCCUCUCCG